AUUCAGUCGACGAGUUCCAAAUAGGACAAAACGUGCGUUCUGGAU
rnacentral:hammerhead_ribozyme from 1 species